rnacentral:rRNA from 1 species
UACGUAGGUGGCAAGCGUUGUCCGGAUUUACUGGGCGUAAAGAGCGCGCAGGCGGUUGAUUAAGUCGAAUGUGAAAGCCCCCGGCUCAACUGGGGAGGGUCAUUCGAUACUGAUUGACUUGAAGGCAGGAGAGAGAAGUGGAAUUCCCGGUGUAGUGGUGAAAUGCGUAGAUAUCGGGAGGAACACCGGUGGCGAAGGCGGUUCUCUGGGCCUGUACUGACGCUGAGGAGCGAAAGCGUGGGGAGCGAACAGG